rnacentral:rRNA from 1 species
AGAGUUUGAUCCUGGCUCAGGACGAACGCUGGCGGCGUGCUUAACACAUGCAAGUCGAGCGAUGAAGCUUCCUUCGGGAAGUGGAUUAGCGGCGGACGGGUGAGUAACACGUGGGUAACCUGCCUCAAAGUGGGGGAUAGCCUUCCGAAAGGAAGAUUAAUACCGCAUAAUAUAAGAGAAUCGCAUGAUUUUCUUAUCAAAGAUUUAUUGCUUUGAGAUGGACCCGCGGCGCAUUAGCUAGUUGGUAAGGUAACGGCUUACCAAGGCAACGAUGCGUAGCCGACCUGAGAGGGUGAUCGGCCACAUUGGAACUGAGACACGGUCCAGACUCCUACGGGAGGCAGCAGUGGGGAAUAUUGCGCAAUGGGGGAAACCCUGACGCAGCAACGCCGCGUGGGUGAUGAAGGUCUUCGGAUUGUAAAGCCCUGUUUUCUAGGACGAUAAUGACGGUACUAGAGGAGGAAGCCACGGCUAACUACGUGCCAGCAGCCGCGGUAAUACGUAGGUGGCGAGCGUUGUCCGGAUUUACUGGGCGUAAAGGGUGCGUAGGCGGAUGUUUAAGUGGGAUGUGAAAUCCCCGGGCUUAACCUGGGGGCUGCAUUCCAAACUGGAUAUCUAGAGUGCAGGAGAGGAAAGCGGAAUUCCUAGUGUAGCGGUGAAAUGCGUAGAGAUUAGGAAGAACACCAGUGGCGAAGGCGGCUUUCUGGACUGUAACUGACGCUGAGGCACGAAAGCGUGGGUAGCAAACAGGAUUAGAUCCCCUGGUAGUCCACGCCGUAAACGAUGGAUACUAGGUGUAGGGGGUAUCAACUCCCCCUGUGCCGCAGUUAACACAAUAAGUAUCCCGCCUGGGGAGUACGGUCGCAAGAUUAAAACUCAAAGGAAUUGACGGGGGCCCGCACAAGCAGCGGAGCAUGUGGUUUAAUUCGAAGCAACGCGAAGAACCUUACCUGGACUUGACAUCCCUUGCAUAGCCUAGAGAUAGGGGAAGCCCUGCGGGG